ACUAAAUCUCGGUUUAGUGGUAUUGAGUGGUACUCUAUUACAGGGUUAGCUUGAAAUAUCAGUAGUGCGAGUGGUCGAAGCGACUGUCUCUCUGGAUAAUGUAUUAGGUUCUGCCAACUCGUUAGACAGGGGUGAUUGUAAUUCUUCUACUAUUAGCUCCACUCUCCUAUCUCAAAG
rnacentral:misc_RNA from 1 species